AGAGGAUGAUCAGCAACACUGGGAGUGAGACACGGCCCAGACUCCUACGGGAGGCAGCAGUGGGGAAUGUUAGACAAUGGGCGCAAGCUUGAUCUAGCCAUGCCGCGUGAGUGAUGAAGGCCUUAGGGUCGUAAAGCUCUUUCGCCAGGGAUGAUAAUGACAGUACCUGGUAAAGAAACCCCGGCUAACUCCGUGCCAGCAGCCGCGGUAAUACGGAGGGGGUUAGCGUUGUUCGGAAUUACUGGGCGUAAAGCGUACGUAGGCGGAUCAGAAGGUAAGAGGUGAAAUCCCAGGGCUCAACCCUGGAACUGCCUUUUAAACUCCUGGUCUUGAGUUCGAGAGAGGUGAGUGGAAUUCCGAGUGUAGAGGUGAAAUUCGUAGAUAUUCGGAGGAACACCAGUGGCGAAGGCGGCUCACUGGCUCGAUACUGACGCUGAGGUACGAAAGUGUGGGGAGCAAACAGGAUUAGAUACCCUGGUAGUCCACACCGUAA
rnacentral:rRNA from 1 species